rnacentral:rRNA from 1 species
UACGGGGGGGGCAAGCGUUGUUCGGAAUUACUGGGCGUAAAGGGCUCGUAGGCGGCCAACUAAGUCAGACGUGAAAUCCCUCGGCUUAACCGGGGAACUGCAUCUGAUACUGGAUGGCUUGAGAUUGGGAGAGGGAUGCGGAAUUCCAGGUGUAGCGGUGAAAUGCGUAGAUAUCAGGAGGAACACCCGUAGCGAAGGCGGCACUCUGGGCCGAUACUGACACUGAGGAGCGAAAGCGUGGGGAGCGAACAGG